AGCAUACUCCCUCCAUCCGAAAAAGCUUGUCCCUCAAAUGGAUGUAUCUAGCACCAAGUUAGUGCUAGAUACAUCCAUUUGAGGGACAAGCUUGGGACAAGUUUUUCGGAUGGAGUGAGUACAAU
rfam:Triticum aestivum genome assembly, contig: Triticum_aestivum_CS42_TGACv1_scaffold_242922_3B